AGAGUUUGAUCCUGGCUCAGGAUGAACGCCGGCGGCGUGCUUAACACAUGCAAGUCGAACGAUGACCCGGCGCUUGCACCGGUGAUUAGUGGCGAACGGGUGAGUAACACGUGAGUAACCUGCCCUUAACUCUGGGAUAAGCCUGGGAAACUGGGUCUAAUACCGGAUAUGACUCCUCAUCGCAUGGUGGGGGGUGGAAAGCUUUAUUGUGGUUUUGGAUGGACUCGCGGCCUAUCAGCUUGUUGGUGAGGUAAUGGCUCACCAAGGCGACGACGGGUAGCCGGCCUGAGAGGGUGACCGGCCACACUGGGACUGAGACACGGCCCAGACUCCUACGGGAGGCAGCAGUGGGGAAUAUUGCACAAUGGGCGAAAGCCUGAUGCAGCGACGCCGCGUGAGGGAUGACGGCCUUCGGGUUGUAAACCUCUUUCAGUAGGGAAGAAGCGAAAGUGACGGUACCUGCAGAAGAAGCGCCGGCUAACUACGUGCCAGCAGCCGCGGUG
rnacentral:rRNA from 1 species